rnacentral:piRNA from 1 species
UCUGCAAGGAAACAAAGACAAUGAACAAC